AUACGGGGGGUGCAAGCGUUACUCGGAAUCAUUGGGCGUAAAGGGCGCGUAGGCGGCCUGAUCAGUCAGAUGUGAAAGCCCGGGGCUCAACCCCGGAAGAGCAUUUGAUACUGUCAGGCUUGAGUAUGGGAGAGGAAAGUGGAAUUCCUGGUGUAGAGGUGAAAUUCGUAGAUAUCCGGAGGAACACCAGUGGCGAAAGCGGCUUCCUGGCCCAUUUCUGACGCUCAGACGCGAAAGCUAGGGUAGC
rnacentral:rRNA from 1 species